UGAAUACUCCUUCCGUCUGAGUUACUUGUCUUAGAAUUGUCUAGAUAGGGAUGCAUCCAGACAUGUUUUAGUGUUGGAUACAUCUGUAUCUAGAAAAAUCAAGACAAGUAAUUUGGGACGGAGGUAAUACCUA
rnacentral:pre_miRNA from 1 species